rnacentral:rRNA from 1 species
GAUGAACGCUGGCGGCGUGCUUAACACAUGCAAGUCGAACGGAAAGGCCCAAGCUUGCUUGGGUACUCGAGUGGCGAACGGGUGAGUAACACGUGGGUGAUCUGCCCUGCACUUCGGGAUAAGCCUGGGAAACUGGGUCUAAUACCGGAUAGGACCACUUCUUGGAUGUUGUGGUGGAAAGUUUUUUCGGUGUGGGAUGAGCUCGCGGCCUAUCAGCUUGUUGGUGGGGUAAUGGCCUACCAAGGCGUCGACGGGUAGCCGGCCUGAGAGGGUGUACGGCCACAUUGGGACUGAGAGACGGCCCAGACUCCUACGGGAGGCAGCAGUGGGGAAUAUUGCACAAUGGGCGCAAGCCUGAUGCAGCGACGCCGCGUGGGGGAUGACGGCCUUCGGGUUGUAAACGCCUUUCGCUAGGGACGAAGCGUUUUGUGACGGUACCUGGAGAAGAAGCACCGGCUAACUACGUG